CGGAAAGAACAAAAAACAAAAGCAAAUGAAAGGCCUUCAUUUUCCUUCCUCCAUAAGCUUCAAAACCCAUUUCCCUCGAUCGAUUUACAAGUAGAUUUAGUUGAAACCAUUUCAAGAAAAGAUACGAACACAGGAAUUUUUCAAGUUCAUAGGAACCCGAUGGUAAAUCCCAGAGAAAUGAAGAAGAAGAAAUUGUGGAGCAAAACAUUGCUAGGUUGGGGGAGCCAGACGCCUAGCCCUAGCUCUAGAUGUGGAUGAGUCUUUCCUUUCAUUUUAUUUUGAUGUUAAAACUAUGUGUUUUGGUUGUUGGUUGUAAAAAAACUGUUUUGGGGAAUUGUAUUUUGAUACAAUUAUUCUUUUGUGGAUCGGAUAGAUGCUUCUACUUGGGAGAUGAUUAUUGUUUUUAGAUUUUAUAAUUAAUUUGACUGUCCAGUGUUUUUGAUAAA